GAAAGAUGGUUUCGGCUAUCGCUUACAGAUGGGCCCGCGGUGCAUUAGCUAGUUGGUAGGGUAAUGGCCUACCAAGGCAACGAUGCAUAGCCGACCUGAGAGGGUGAUCGGCCACACUGGGACUGAGACACGGCCCAGACUCCUACGGGAGGCAGCAGUAGGGAAUCUUCCGCAAUGGACGAAAGUCUGACGGAGCAACGCCGCGUGUAUGAAGAAGGUUUUCGGAUCGUAAAGUACUGUUGUUAGAGAAGAACAAGGAUAAGAGUAACUGCUUGUCCCUUGACGGUAUCUAACCAGAAAGCCACGGCUAACUACGUGCCAGCAGCCGCGGUAAUACGUAGGUGGCAAGCGUUGUCCGGAUUUAUUGG
rnacentral:rRNA from 1 species